GAUGAACGCUAGCGGCAGGCUUAAUACAUGCAAGUCGAGGGGCAGCAUGAAUGUAGCAAUACAUUUGAUGGCGACCGGCAAACGGGUGCGGAACACGUACACAACCUUCCUAUAAGUGGGGAAUAGCCCAGAGAAAUUUGGAUUAAUACCCCGUAACAUAAUGAUGUGGCAUCACAUUAUUAUUAUAGCUUCGGCGCUUAUUGAUGGGUGUGCGGCUGAUUAGAUAGUUGGCGGGGCAACGGCCCACCAAGUCUACGAUCAGUAGCUGAUGUGAGAGCAUGAUCAGCCACACGGGCACUGAGACACGGGCCCGACUCCUACGGGAGGCAGCAGUAAGGAAUAUUGGUCAAUGGACGCAAGUCUGAACCAGCCAUGCCGCGUGAAGGAUUAAGGUCCUCUGGAUUGUAAACUUCUUUUAUCUGGGACGAAAAAAGGCUAUUCUUAGUCACUUGACGGUACCAGAUGAAUAAGCACCGGCUAACUCCGUGCCAGCCGCCGCCGUAAGAC
rnacentral:rRNA from 1 species